CCUACGGGGGACAGCAGUCGAGAAUCAUUCACAAUGGGGGAAACCCUGAUGGUGCGACGCCGCGUGGGGGAAUGAAGGUCUUCGGAUUGUAAACCCCUGUCAUGUGGGAGCAAAUUAAAAAGAUAGUACCACAAGAGGAAGAGACGGCUAACUCUGUGCCAGCAGCCGCGGUAAUACAGAGGUCGCAAGCGUUGUUCGGAAUCACUGGGCGUAAAGGGUGCGUAGGCAGUUUCGUAAGGCGGGUGUGAAAGGCGCGGGCUCAACCCGCGGACGGCAGAUGAAACUGUGAGACUAGAGUAAUGGAGGGGGAACCGGAAUUCGCGGUGUAGCAGUGAAAUGCGUAGAUAUCGAGAGGAACACUCGUGGCGAAGGCGGGUUCCUGGACAUUAACUGACGCUGAGGCACGAAGGCCAGGGGAGCGAAAGGGAUUAGAUACCCGGGUAGUC
rnacentral:rRNA from 1 species